rnacentral:rRNA from 1 species
AGAGUUUGAUCCUGGCUCAGAGUGAACGCUGGCGGCGUGCCUAACACAUGCAAGUCGAACGAUGAUGGAGAGCUUGCUCUCCUGAUUAGUGGCGCACGGGUGAGUAUACCAUAGAUAAUGUACCCCUUAGUUCGGGAUAGCCACUGGAAACGGUGAUUAAUACCGGAUACUCCUUCUCAUUAUAAGAUGAGUCGGGAAAGUUUUUUCGCUAAGGGAUCAGUCUAUGUCCUAUCAGCUAGUUGGUGAGGUAAUGGCUCACCAAGGCUAUGACGGGUAUCUGGUUUGAGAGGAUGAUCAGACACACUGGAACUGAGACACGGUCCAGACUCCUACGGGAGGCAGCAGUGAGGAAUAUUGCACAAUGGAGGAAGCUCUGAUGCAGCAACGCCGCGUGGAGGAUGACGCAUUUCGGUGUGUAAACUCCUUUUAAGAGGGAAGAUUAUGACGGUACCUCUUGAAUAAGCACCGGCUAACUCCGUGCCAGCAGCCGCGGU